AGGCAAAUGUGGCCCAGCCAGCUUUACAAGGAUGCAUAAAUGAAGAAAGGAGAGAAAUGUGCCUCAAGAUACAUAGAGAUGAUAGACAAGGAAAGAUGAAAAAAUGAGUACUAAAAAUCCGAUGUACCAGGCUGUGAUUAAUUCCUAUAGGACAAAAAGGACAGAAGUAAAAGCAUAAAUACAUACCUGAAUCAUAUAGAAGAAAUCCAGAGAAGCAAACAAUAUGGACAGGCACUUACCUUGCUAUGUGCAUAAACCACUGAACCUAACAAUUUCCAAGUCCCUCCUCUUCGGUCCAUGCGCACCAUACGAAGGAUCUGUAGGAAACGAAGACUUCUCAGUGCUGAUGUUGCAAAAAUGUUACCCUGAGUUUUUGCAGAAACAACUGCUAUUGAAGCGAUGAGAACAAUGAUGUCUGAAAGAAAUACAUUACAAAAUAUAUUAAUGUACUCAUAUUGACUAGUAAUAUGGUCAUAUGCUGGGUGAAGUAUCUGAUUUGUACAAAAAUAAUAUUCUUGAUGUCAACAGUCUUGAUUAGGACUGCAGAAGCAGGAUCUUGAAUAAAUUCAGAGAUCAGUUUUUUGCAUGUAGCCUGCAUGGAAGGAAGGAAACACUUGCUAAGAGUAAUUUCAAGUAUUGUGGCUAAGCUGCAUUGCACAUAACAUUAGAUUAUGAAGCUAAUGUUCACUACAGCAGUAAACUGAAGAAAAGCUAAAAUUAGGCCAUGUUCUCAUGACCACGGGGAGCACAGUUAAAGAGUUAACCAUGAUUGUUAUGCCCUGCGCACUCCCAAGGAGCAUGAUGUGAGAUCUCGGAAUUUCUGGACAUUCCCGGGCAAACUGCUGUGGUGAAACAGCAUUUAACCAGGAUUGAUAACAAAGAUCUGUCAUGCACCACGGGAGUGUGCGGGGCUUAGUGAUCGCAGUUAACUCUUUAAUCAUGUUUCCCACAGUUGUGCAAACACAGCCUUACUUUGUUUUUUUAACAAAGAAUCUGGAGAGACAAAUGUCAGCAUUAUUAUGAUUAAGGAGUUAAUCUUGUGAAAUAUCUUCAUGGACAAAACUUUCAGGAACAGUGGAGAGAUUUAAGAAUUUGAAAAGAAAAGUGAAUGGAAAUAACAUCCCUUUACAGCUGAUAGAUAGAUAGAUAGAUGCUAUAAAAUAUUCCAUUAACUAAUGCUAAGCUCCAGCAAAACAAAUGUUCUUUCAUGUAAUUCUUAUAGCAAUUUGUAAGAAAAGGUAGAUUUCUUGAUUUUAUCAAGCACUCCUCUUGGUAGGCCUGUGUGUUGGAAUGUCAAUUUUGACAAAUUUGUACCUGCCCGCCCACCCCUGGCACCAUGCAGAGGUAGGCCAUCCUAGCACAACAAGCUCUGGGAAGUACCUGACAUUUCUAGUGCUAAGGGAGCCAUUUCUAUGUAACCAGAUCCCACAGGGAUGGCUGGGAAGGCACAUGGGGAUGCCAGUAAGGUGCACAGGGACAUCUAGGGAGUGUCGUUCCUCCCAGUGCUUUCUCCAUGGGCACCAA